GCUAUACCAGAGGGUGGAGAACAUGAGCAAACCAGCUGGGGAGGUGGUCGAGAUGUUCCCCUUUCUGAAAGUGUAAAAACUUAUGCAUCAUGAAAUGAGGUUGCGUUUUGGUCAGGACUUGGAGCUAAGCCUUUAACAUGCCCUUAGUGUGAUGACACCCAACAUUAUAAGAGUCGCUCAAAGAGGGAGUCAGAGGGGGCUGCUGUCAAGCCUGCAGGGAACAGAGGAUAACACAGACGAUUUACAAAGAAGUGCUACUUUACUUAUUCAAGGAGACCUCCAAGUUUCUGCACUGCUUAGAUGAGUUGCGCCAUGAAAUGAUGACCCAGCAUGGGGUCGAUGUAAGCAGCAACCUAACAACCGUGUUGGAGGGAGUGGCACACAAGAUCGUCCAAGCCAUGAGGGACAAGAAAAAUCCCAAACCAAUCUCGCCCACCCUACUGGAUGAUUCUGAUGAGGCUGGAAUGAAGAAUGCUGCCCUACUGUUGCUGCCAGACCUGUUCAGGGAGAACAGCAACUUCAUGUUCUGUAUAGAGGAACCAGUCAGCCCUAACCCGACCAUCGUAUUCCACAGGUCUCUGAACGCCCUGAAAGCUGAUUGCAUUAGCAUCCAUCUGGAUGGAGAAACCAUUGUCAAAUCAACAUUGUCCAUAGCGGAAGCAAUAGAGUGUCUGUUCUGUGUAUACUAUCUUUUUAAUAUUUCAUAUCCCACCCCCAUAAUCAACACACUUACUUUCAUUGAAAAAGUCUUGCUAAAAAUGUCCUGCAACAACACAAAGAUUCCCCUCCCUGUCCUGUGUCUUUGUCUUUGGUCUUUGGUGUACUUGGUUGUUUGUCUUCUGUGUGUUUUUUUUUUUGUUUUUUUUUUUUUUAUGAUGAUGACUUUGCUGCCACUCUUGGCCAGGACUCACUGCAACUUAUCUUGCAAAAACACACACACAUAUAGAUAUAGUAGUUUUGGAUGAAUUAAUGUAAAAUACCUUGAAAUAAACAGAAAUUAUCUUUCAAA